AAGAUGACACGAGUAAGGAGGAAAAAAAGUAACAUCAGAGCAGAUAAAAAUGGGGAGUGGGGACGUGACAGAUAAAAGGAACCACAGAGUGCAGUAGAGCAGAACUUGCGCUGUCUUUCUGAUCAGAGAAGUUGCCGAGUUUUUAAAAGACUGAUCUGAAUGUAAGCCAACAAAUCAUAUCAACUCUGUGGCUAAUGGCAAGGAGCCUAACAGCGUAAGAGGAGGAGUUUUUUUAAACGACCAGUUUGAAUCCAAACCAAUAUAUCUCAACGUCUAAAAGCACGUGACUGAGAACAGAUCAGGAGCUGAAAGAACAUCUUAACAACACAAGACCCUGACUGCGCAGAAGCCACUAUAUUUGUUCCUGAAAGAAGAAAAAUUUAGAUCUUUGUAGUAAAUUUAAUAACUGACGUACAACAAUAAUGUUGAAAUAUUUCAAACGAGAAGAAGAGCCCAAAAAGCUUUCAGAUACUAUAAAAAAAGAUGGCAAACAAUCAAAAACACAUACAGAGCCUCUCCCUGUUAAUAUAAUUAAACUGAAAAAAAAUGAUAAAUUCAAUGUCGAUGGAUGCAAGAGUUUCACUUUUGGGAAAGCGUCCAGUAAACCUAAUCGCACCAUAAUGGUUCUCGGAGCGACUGGUGCUGGGAAGUCAACUCUCAUCAACGGGAUGAUCAAUUACAUUUUAGGUGUUAAAUGGGAGGAUCCACAUCGCUUUAAGUUAGUUGAUGAGGGUCAGUCAACAUCACAAGCUCAAAGUCAGACCUCUGAAGUCACUGUGUACAAAAUCAACCACCAGGAUGGAUUUCAAAUCCCGUUCUCUCUGACCAUUGUUGACACUCCAGGCUUUGGAGAUACAAGAGGCAUAGAAAGAGACAGAGAGAUCACAGAGCAGCUACGUAAUCUCUUCUCUGCUCAGCACGGUGUCACUGACAUUGAUGCUGUGUGUUUUGUAGCUCAGGCUGCUUUAGCACGACUCACAGCAACACAGAAAUAUGUGUUUGAUUCAGUGCUCUCAAUCUUUGGCAAAGAUGUGGCAGAAAACAUCAGGAUCCUGGUGACAUUUGCAGACGGUCAGCGACCUCCAGUUCUCGAGGCGAUCAAUGCUGCAGGAGUCCCAUGUCCUAAAACAAACAACCUGCCGGUUCACUUCAAAUUCAAUAACUCAGCGCUGUUUGCAAAUAACAAAUCAGCUGAAGGAGACAGAAUGAGUGAUGAUGAUGAAGAAGAAGGUGGCUUUGAUAAGAUGUUUUGGGAGAUGGGCACAAGAAGCAUGAAGAGGUUUUUUGCUGCUCUGAAUAAAAUAGAAACUAAAAGCUUGACACUGACAAGGGAAGUCCUCAGAGAAAGAAAGCAGCUCGAGAAUUCGGUUGAGAAUCUGCAGGUGCAGGUGAAACUUGGGUUAGCCAAGAUUGAGGAGAUAAAAGAGACGAGUAAAAAAGUUAAAGAUCAUGAAGCAGAGAUCGGCAGAAAUGAGAACUUUGAAUUUGAAGUUACUGUCAAAAAGCCUGUUCAGGAGGACAUUUCUGGCUCUGGAAACUACAUCACCAACUGUCAGCAGUGUCAUGUCACCUGCCACUACCCUUGUGCCAUACCAAAUGAUGCAGAUAAAAGGGGCUGUGCAGCAAUUGGAUCAAAUGGAUAUUGUACAGAGUGCUCAGGGAAAUGUAUUUGGAAUGUACACUUUAAUCAGAAGUACAAAUGGGGCUAUAAAGAUGUUAAAGAAAAAAGAACAAUAAAAGAGCUGAAAGAAAAGUACCUGAAAGCCACAGGAGAGAAGAUGACUGUUCAAGCACUGGUUGACAAACUGAAUGCUGAGUAUGAAAGUUUGCAGGCUGACGUAGUGAAACUGAUGGAGAAAUCUUCCAAGUGUCUGAACAGACUUAAAGAGAUAGCACUGAAGCCCAACCCUCUGUCCACUCCAGAGUACAUCGACAUGCUUAUUGAAGGAGAGAAAUCUGAGGGCAAACCAGGCUGGAAGAGACGAGUUCAGUCUCUGAUGUCCAUGAAGGAAAAAGCAGAGACAAUGGCUAAAAUAGAGGAAGGAAAGAAACUCCUGCAUCAUCAAAAAUCACUUGAUGUUAAUGCUUAGCCAAAUCCAUGAAACAGCACAUAGUCACAGGCAGUCAGAUAAUGAUAGAGGGUAAAAUCACAGCCAGCUGCAGCAACCUCUGAAUGAUUUUAAAGUUUCACCACUUUUUGUAUUUAUGAUUCUGAAAGUUUAGAAAGAAUAUGUACUUGACCUACUACAAGCAACUUCAAAGUUAAAUAAAACAUAAUAAAAUUCAUUGUUUUUUUAA